rnacentral:rRNA from 1 species
UACGUAGGGCGCAAGCGUUGUCCGGAAUUACUGGGCGUAAAGAGCUCGUAGGUGGUUUGUCGCGUUGUUCGUGAAAACUCACAGCUUAACUGUGGGCGUGCGGGCGAUACGGGCAAACUAGAGUGCGGUAGGGGGAGAUUGGAAUUCCUGGUGUAGCGGUGGAAUGCGCAGAUAUCAGGAGGAACACCGAUGGCGAAGGCAGAUCUCUGGGCCGUAACUGACGCUGAGGAGCGAAAGCAUGGGGAGCGAACAGG